rnacentral:rRNA from 1 species
UACGGGAGGCAGCAGUGGGGAAUAUUGGACAAUGGAGGCAACUCUGAUCCAGCAAUUCUGUGUGUGUGAAGAAGGUUUUAGGACUGUAAAACACUUUUAGUAGGGAAGAAAGAAAUGACGGUACCUACAGAAGAAGCGACGGCUAAAUACGUGCCAGCAGCCGCGGUAAUACGUAUGUCGCGAGCGUUAUCCGGAAUUAUUGGGCUUAAAGGGCAUCUAGGCGGUUAAACAAGUUGAAGGUGAAAACCUGUGGCUCAACCAUAGGCUUGCCUACAAAACUGUAUAACUAGAGUACUGGAAAGGUGGGUGGAACUACACGAGUAGAGGUGAAAUUCGUAGAUAUGUGUAGGAAUGCCGAUGAUGAAGAUAACUCACUGGACAGCAACUGACGCUGAAGUGCGAAAGCUAGGGGAGCAAACAGGAUUAGAUACCCUGGUAGUCCUAGCUGUAAACGAUGAUCACUGGGUGUGGGGAUUCGAAGUCUCUGUGCCGAAGCAAAAGCGAUAAGUGAUCCGCCUGGG